GUGAGGAAUAUUGCGCAAUGGAGGCAACUCUGACGCAGCCAUGCCGCGUGCAGGAAGAAGGCGCUACGCGUUGUAAACUGCUUUUAACCGGGAAGAAACCCCAGGACGUGUCCUGGGUUGACGGUACCGGAGGAAUAAGCACCGGCUAACUUCGUGCCAGCAGCCGCGGUAAUACGAAGGGUGCAAGCGUUAUCCGGAUUCAUUGGGUUUAAAGGGUGCGUAGGCGGAGCGUUAAGUCAGUGGUGAAAUCCUGCAGCUUAACUGUAGACUUGCCAUUGAUACUGGCGCUCUUGAGUGCGCUUGAAGUGGGCGGAAUGUGCCGUGUAGCGGUGAAAUGCUUAGAUAUGGCACAGAACACCGAUUGCGAAGGCAGCUCACUAAGGCGAUACUGACGCUGAGGCACGAAAGCGUGGGGAUCGAACAGGAUUAGAUACCCCGGUAGUCC
rnacentral:rRNA from 1 species